rnacentral:rRNA from 1 species
GAAUUCACUAGUGAUUCAGGCCUAACACAUGCAAGUCGAGCGAUUCUCUUCGGAGAAGAGCGGCGGACGGGUGAGUAACGCGUGGGUAACCUGCCCUGUACACACGGAUAACAUACCGAAAGGUAUGCUAAUACGAGAUAAUAUGCUUUUAUCGCAUGGUAGAAGUAUCAAAGCUCCGGCGGUACAGGAUGGACCCGCGUCUGAUUAGCUAGUUGGUGAGGUAACGGCUCACCAAGGCGACGAUCAGUAGCCGACCUGAGAGGGUGAUCGGCCACAUUGGAACUGAGACACGGUCCAAACUCCUACGGGAGGCAGCAGUGGGGAAUAUUUCAAAAGGGGCGAAAGCCUGAUGCAGCAACGCCG